GACGAACGCUGGCGGCGUGCUUAACACAUGCGAGUCGAACGGAAAGGCCCUGCGGUUGUGGGGUGCUCGAGUGGCGAACGGGUGAGUAACACGUGAGUAACCUGCCCUUGACUUUGGGAUAACUUCAGGAAACUGGGGCUAAUACCGGAUAGGAGCUCCUGCUGCAUGGUGGGGGUGGGAAAGUUUCGGCGGUUGGGGAUGGACCCGCGGCUUAUCAGCUUGUUGGUGGGGUAGUGGCUUACCAAGGCUUUGACGGGUAGCCGGCCUGAGAGGGUGACCGGCCACAUUGGGACUGAGAUACGGCCCAGACUCCUACGGGAGGCAGCAGUGGGGAAUAUUGCACAAUGGGCGGAAGCCUGAUGCAGCAACGCCGCGUGCGGGAUGACGGCCUUCGGGUUGUAAACCGCUUUCGCCUGUGACGAAGCGUGAGUGACGGUAAUGGGUAAAGAAGCACCGGCUAACUACGUG
rnacentral:rRNA from 1 species